CUGGAACCGAAGCGCGCAAAAUGCGUCACCCGAGAGGCGGCGGCCGCGCCGAUCGGCGUCGCGGCGGGCGGCCUUACGUUGACGACGAACGGCACGAUGAGCAUGACCAGCACCAGCUCCAGUUGAGGGUUUGAAAUUGUUUCAGAUCAGUCGGGACGCGCGCAUACUUUGGACCAGCCCGGCACGAGCAGCACCAGGCUGAUGACGCCUUUCUCCAGAACCAUGAUGAGCAGUGACCUCCAGUGGCCACGACGACAACUGCGCCCUCCAGUUGGUGUUUUUCCCCUUCCGGCGGGUCUCCGGCAGAACUCACCGUACUCGCCAAACGUGAGCGGCGUCCACUGCUUGUACUCCACCACCCGCGACACCACUUUGACGGCCAGCCAGAUGACCAGCAUGCCCACCGGACGCAGACCAAAAAAAUGGCGGCGUGCGACUGACAGCGAGCAAGGGUCCUCUUUGGUGAGCGUGGACAGAAAGAUGUUGGCGAAGUGGAUGAAGAGAGCGCCGAUGGCCUGCUUGGAAGUGUCGAAAAACCUGCAAAAC